rnacentral:lncRNA from 1 species
CUAGCUCAGGGUUUGUGAAUACACCAAUCAGUACUCUGUGUCUAGCUCAGGGUUCGUAAAUACACCAGUCAGCAGUCUGUAUCUAGCUAAUCUAGUGGGGAGGUGGAGAACUUUUGUGUCUAGCUCAGGGAUUGUAAAUGCACCAAUCAGCACCCUGUGAAAACGGACCAAUCAGCUCUGUAAAAUGGACCAAUCAGCUCUCUGUAAAAUGGACCAAUCAGCAGGAUGUGGGUGGCACCAGAUAAGAGAAUAAAAGCAGGCUGCGUGAGCUAACAGUGACAACCUCUCAGGUCUCUUUCCACACUGUGAAAGCUUUGUUCUUUAGCUCUUUGCAAUAAAUCUCGCUGCUGCUCACUCUUUGGGUCUACACUGCCAUUAUGAGCUGUAACACUCACUGCGAAGGUUUGCAGCUUCACUUCUGAAGCCAGCGAGACUACGAACCCACCAGGAGGAAUGAACAACUGCAGACGCCCCACCUUAAGAGCUGUAACACUCACCAGGAAAGUCUGCAGCUUCACUCCUGAGCCAGGAAGAUCACGAACCCACCAGAAGGAAGAAACUCCGAACACAUGGGAACAUCAGAAGAAACAAACUCAGGACACGCCACCUUUAAGAACUGUGCUUUUAAGAACUGUACCACUCACCGCUAGGGUCUGCGGCUUCAUUCUUGAAGUCAGUGAGACCAAGAACCUACCAAUUCCGGACACACAAGCACAAUGUUAUGAAGUGAUACGGCAACUACCAGAAAACUCUUAGGGAAAUUGAUGUUGUGCACCCUUGGGGAGAAAAAGGACCUUUCAAAGGAUGAUCUUAC